rnacentral:rRNA from 1 species
ACAUGCCUACAACAUAGAAUUAAUGCAUUGGAUCCCAUUAGAGCUCCACAGUUAAGUGUGCUCGGGCUAGAGUAGUACUAGAAUGGGUGACCUCUUGGGAAGUCCUAGUGUUUUACAUGCC